rnacentral:rRNA from 1 species
AAUAGAUACCCAGGUAGUCCACGCCGUAAACGAUGAGUGCUAAGUGUUAGAGGGUUUCCGCCCUUUAGUGCUGAAGUUAACGCAUUAAGCACUCCGCCUGGGGAGUACGGCCGCAAGGCUGAAACUCAAAGGAAUUGACGGGGGCCCGCACAAGCGGUGGAGCAUGUGGUUUAAUUCGAAGCAACGCGAAGAGCCUUACCAGGUCUUGACAUCCUCUGACAACCCUAGAGAUAGGGCUUCUCCUUCGGGAGCAGAGUGACAGGUGGUGCAUGGUUGUCGUCAGCUCGUGUCGUGAGAUGUUGGGUUAAGUCCCGCAACGAGCGCAACCCUUGAUCUUAGUUGCCAUCACUCAGUUGGGCACUCUAAGGUGACUGCCGGUGACAAACCGGAGGAAGGUGGGGAUGACGUCAAAUCAUCAUGCCCCUUAUGACCUGGGCUACACACGUGCUACAAUGGACGGUACAAAGAGCUGCGAGACCGCGAGGUGGAGCUAAUCUCAUAAAACCCGUUCUCAGUUCGGAUUGUAGG